UGUAGCUUAAUGGCAAAGCACUUGCCUAGCAUGCGUGAGGCACUGGGUUCGAUCCUCAGCA
rnacentral:tRNA from 1 species